ensembl:snRNA U6 U6 spliceosomal RNA
GUGCUCGCUUCAGCAGCACAUAUACUAAAAUUGGAAUGAUACAGAGAAGAUUAGCAUGGCCCCUGCGCAAGGAUGACAUGUAAAACUCUUUCUUAGUAAAUUCUU